GUGCUCAAACUGGCAGCACAUAUACUAUAAUUAGAACAAUACAGAGAACAUUAGCAUGACCCUUGCAAAGGAUGGCAGAAAAAUUCAUUUAAUUUUU
ensembl:snRNA U6 U6 spliceosomal RNA